GACGAACGCUGGCGGCGUGCUUAACACAUGCAAGUCGAACGGAAAGGCCCUGCUUUUGUGGGGUGCUCGAGUGGCGAACGGGUGAGUAACACGUGAGUAACCUGCCCUUGACUUUGGGAUAACUUCAGGAAACUGGGGCUAAUACCGGAUAGGAGCUCCUGCUGCAUGGUGGGGGUUGGAAAGUUUCGGCGGUUGGGGAUGGACUCGCGGCUUAUCAGCUUGUUGGUGGGGUAGUGGCUUACCAAGGCUUUGACGGGUAGCCGGCCUGCGAGGGUGACCGGCCAAAUUGGGAAUGAGAGACGGCCCAGACUCCUACGGGAGGCAGCAGUGGGGAAUAUUGCACAAUGGGCGGAAGCCUGAUGCAGCAACGCCGCGUGCGGGAUGACGGCCUUCGGGUUGUAAACCGCUUUCGCCUGUGACGAAGCGUGAGUGACGGUAAUGGGUAAAGAAGCACCGGCUAACUACGUG
rnacentral:rRNA from 1 species